rnacentral:rRNA from 1 species
UGGGGAAUAUUGCACAAUGGGCGCAAGCCUGAUGCAGCCAUGCCGCGUGUGUGAAGAAGGCCUUCGGGUUGUAAAGCACUUUCAGCGAGGAGGAAGGUGGUGAGCUUAAUACGCUCAUCAAUUGACGUUACUCGCAGAAGAAGCACUGGCUAACUCCGUGCCAGCAGCCGCGGUAAUACGGAGGGUGCAAGCGUUAAUCGGAAUUACUGGGCGUAAAGCGCACGCAGGCGGUUUGUUAAGUCAGNUGUGAAAUCCCCGGGCUCAACCUGGGAACUGCAUUUGAAACUGGCAAGCUAGAGUCUCGUAGAGGGGGGUAGAAUUCCAGGUGUAGCGGUGAAAUGCGUAGAGAUCUGGAGGAAUACCGGUGGCGAAGGCGGCCCCCUGGACGAAGACUGACGCUCAGGUGCGAAAGCGUGGGGCAGCAAACAGGAUUAGAUACCCUGGUAGUCCACGCUGUAAACGAUGUCGAUUUGGAGGUUGUGCCCCUUGAGGCGUGGGCUUCCGGAGCUAACGCGUUAAAGUCGACCGCCUGGGGAGUACGGCCNCAAGGUUAAAACUUAAAUGAAUU